rnacentral:snRNA from 1 species
GUGCUCUCUUCAGCAGCAUAUAUACUAAAAUUCAAAGGAUACAUAAAUUAGCAUGACUCCUGUGCAAGGGCAAUAGACAAAACCAUGAAACUUUCAUAUUUUUA